rnacentral:ncRNA from 1 species
UGCGCUUCGACGCGUAAAGACCCAAAGGGCCAGGGGAAAAGACCAACCCGCCAAACCAAACCGGCACGCGUCGCUCGGACGGGUGCAUCGUGCCAACUGGGCUGGAUUUCCCACAGGUUGCUUGGCAUAUGCCCGCCCCGAAGUACCCCGGACAUGAAGACGGCCCCCGGCGGGAGUGUGAAUCCCGGCCGAGGGCCUGACCA